rnacentral:rRNA from 1 species
UUCCUACGGGGGGCAGCAGUGGGGAAUAUUGCACAAUGGGCGCAAGCCUGAUGCAGCGACGCCGCGUGCGGGAUGACGGCCUUCGGGUUGUAAACCGCUUUCAGCAGGGAAGAAGCGCAAGUGACGGUACCUGCAGAAGAAGCGCCGGCUAACUACGUGCCAGCAGCCGCGGUAAUACGUAGGGCGCAAGCGUUGUCCGGAAUUAUUGGGCGUAAAGAGCUCGUAGGCGGUCUGUCGCGUCUGCUGUGAAAUACUCAGGCUCAACCUGGGGCUUGCAGUGGGUACGGGCAGACUAGAGUGCGGUAGGGGUGACUGGAAUUCCUGGUGUAGCGGUGGAAUGCGCAGAUAUCAGGAGGAACACCGAUGGCGAAGGCAGGUCACUGGGCCGCAACUGACGCUGAGGAGCGAAAGCAUGGGGAGCGAACAGGAUUAGAUACCCCAGUAGUCCG